UUUGCCACCAUAAAUAUUAUAAUUAUCCUUGUCGCGAAAGCGAUGAUGAUUCUGAAUCCGUUGCGGAAUAGUCGUUUUGGACUGGGGGGCGGUACCCCACAGCUCCACCAGAAAGAUUCAUGGGGCUGACAUAGUUUCGACAGGCGCAGUAAAGGCAAAUCGGUUGAAUCCGACGUGGCGUCGUUAAAAGCCGAAUAAAAACUGAAUGGCGAUAGAAUCGCUGCGAACGACAACGUUCGCCUUGCAAUGGCUGCCUAAUUGGCGUUUGGGUAUAAUUGGCGAUUGUUAGUUAUAUCCGUUUAGCUUAUUGCGGGGCUGCUGGGUGCCCGGCAACAGAAACCCA
rnacentral:tmRNA from 1 species